rnacentral:rRNA from 1 species
UACGUAGGGCGCAAGCGUUGUCCGGAAUUAUUGGGCGUAAAGAGCUCGUAGGCGGUUUGUUGCGUCGGCUGUGAAAUCCCGAGGCUCAACCUCGGGUCUGCAGUCGAUACGAGCAAACUAGAGUGUUGCAGGGGAGACUGGAAUUCCUGGUGUAGCGGUGAAAUGCGCAGAUAUCAGGAGGAACACCGGUGGCGAAGGCGGGUCUCUGGGCAACAACUGACGCUGGAGGAGCGAAAGCGUUGGGGAGCGAACAGGA